CGAUUCAAUAGGCUACGAAUUGAAAUACUUUAAACCGUUCGCAAGUCAACACUGGUAUUGCAGGUUCAUUUCUUCCUGAUUCAUGGAAAUAAAGUAUGUGACUAUUGAUCAGCGGUGUACCACUGUACCUUGUUUUCAUUAACAGCAAGGUUUUAUGGAUCUUAAUCAGAGCCUUUAUUGUGCAAUUCUAAAAGGAGAUGUCUCAGAAGUUCAAACGUUAGUAGAAUGAGGCGCCUCCGUAAACAUAACGUCAUAUCCUGACAAUUGGAGUCCACUGCAUCAUGCAGCAUUAUUGAAUCGUCCAGACGUUAUACAAUUACUUAUAAAAGAAAAUGCAGAUGUGAACCUUGUUGAUACAAAUGGUAGGAGACCAUUUGAAGUAUCUGUCAAUUAUAGACCACAGAAUCAUAGAAAAAGAGUUAACUCAGAAUGCCAAGAUUCCUCAGAUGAUGAUUUUGGAAUUCGGACGCUGACAGCAAGGCGCAAAGAUUCCUUAGCUGAUAUUUUUAGAAAUUGGACUCUGCCAGUAACGGAUUGGAGACCGUUUGCCGUACCUGUCAAUCAUACGCAAUAUAUUCAUAGAACUAGUGUUAACUCCGAGUGCGAGGAUUUCUAUUAUGAUGAUUCUGGAAUUUCGACACUGACAUCAACGACAAACGAACUUAGGAACGCACUAAGUUUAAAUGAUACAUAUAACAGUACGACAAGUGAUGACAAAAAAAGAAGUUUUCAAGAUAUCAAAAAGUCUAUUGAGAAAGAAAAGCCAA